AUCAAGGAAUUUUGAAGAGAGAGUUCAAGAGGACGUGAAACCGGUAGGGUGGAAGCAGAUAAAGUUGACGAACGUGUGUCGCAUUCAGAACUACAAUUUGUGGUUUGUUUUUACGAUCGAUGUGGGCUGGCGUCUUUGGUUAACUUAGUGUCUGGCGGCAAUGGUGACCCUGCGGAGGGAUGCUCGGUUGUCGUGCGAUGCUUGGUAUGGCUAGAGGUUCGCUGGUUUUAUAGUCAUCGCUUUAUCUGACCCGUCUUGAAACACGGACCAAGGAGUGAACCGCUUACGCGAGUCUUACAGUGUGUCAAAACUUUGAGGCGUAACGAAGGUAAAUGUGGAUUUAUUCACUGACUUGGGAUACGUUGUCUUUUUUGGAUAACGUUGGACCAUGGUUUUAUCGUAAUCGCUUGCGAUGCGGUGAAAAUACAGCGUAAGCGGUGCGACCCGAAAGAUGGUGAACUAUGCCUGAGCAGGAAAAGAUGGUGAACUAUGCCUGAGCAGGA
rnacentral:rRNA from 1 species